rnacentral:lncRNA from 1 species
CAACAUUUUAGGAAUUAGGGGCCAAAAAGGGCCCAAAUAAGCAUUUUCUUGGUUUUCGCACUAUAACUUUAGUUUAAGUUAAUACAAAUCUAUGAAAUUUUGACACAAGGUUUAUGACCACAAAAGAACGGCUGGGAUUGAUUUUGGGAGUUUUGGUUUCAACAGUUUAGGAAGUAGGGGCCAAAAAAGGGCCCAAAUAAGCAUUAUUCUUGGUUUUCGCACAAUAACUUUAGUUUAAGUAAAUAGAAAUCAAUGAAAUUUAAACACAAUGUUAAUGACUACAAAAGGAAGGUUGGUAUUGAUUUUGGAGUUUAGGUCCCAACAGUUUAGGAAUUAGGGGCCAAAAGGGACCCAAAUAAGCAUUUUUCUUGGUUUUCGCACAUAACGUUAGUAUAAGUAAACAGAAUCUAUGAAAUUUAAACACAAGGUUUUAUGACCAUAAAAGGAAGGUUGGUAUUGAUUUUGGGAGUUUUGGUCCCAACAGAAUAAGGGGCCCAAAG